UACGGGGGGGGCAAGCGUUGUUCGGAAUUACUGGGCGUAAAGGGCUCGUAGGCGGCCAACUAAGUCAUACGUGAAAUCCCUCAGCUUAACUGGGGAACUGCGUGUGAUACUGGAUGGCUUGGAUUUGGGAGAGGGAUGCGGAAUUCCAGGUGUAGCGGUGAAAUGCGCAGAUAUCGGGAGGAACACCAAUGGCGAAGGCAGCUUGCUGGGACGGUACUGACGCUGAGACGCGAAAGCGUGGGGAGCGAAUGGG
rnacentral:rRNA from 1 species